rfam:Paenibacillus sp. Leaf72 contig_1, whole genome shotgun sequence.
GGGGGCGUUCUUGGAUUCGACGGGGAUAGGACGAGCGCGGGUUGCGGGUAGUGGGGACGCGUCCACUUCAUCAACGCUAAAGCCUAUUAAAUGGCAAACAACAAACAAACUACGCUUUCGCAGCCUAAGAAACUGUGAGCGUGCUCCUACCUAGCAUCGCCCAUGUGACUAGACUAGGGGCUAACAAGUAGUGGGAUACGCUGUCUCAUCUCCGCCUGGGGUGAGCUGAAGAAGACAAUCAGGCUGACCUUGGAAGAAGCCGGUUACGGGGCGUCCUCCUGGGUGACAUCAAAAUCGUGACUACACCCGUAGAUGCCUGUGUGGCGUGAUCUUCGGACAGGGGUUCGACUCCCCUCGCCUCCAUAU